UUUUCUGGGGAUCCCUCCUUGAUGCAGCUUUCCCUUGUGAUCCUGAAAUCUUCUGAUACAGGGGUAUUACAACUAAUGUGGCAAGAGAAAUGCCCUGAGCAGACAUCUGGGAAUAGAUAAGAACAGCUAGUUUAUGUUUCUUGUUGUCAACACAUUGCUCAUGACCUUUAAGGAUGCCAUUUAUUAAAUUCAUUAACCAAAAGGCUCGUAAUCUUUACAUCGGGCGUUAUUUUUAAAAGGCAAGAUGUAAACUCAAGAAAUAUGUGUUACUACGUAGCUACUAUGUGAGUCUUAAUUAUUUUUACAAUGCUUUGAGAUGUCAUCUUAUGAAGAUUAAUAUUAUGAGAAUCAUAUAUUAUAUGAAUAAUAAUAAUUACUGUGUAAAAAAAUCUUACUAAGAUAUUUUUUUCCCCACAUUUCAUAAGAUCUCAUGGCAUCUUAUCAGGUGCUCUAUUACAUUCAAUGCAUAAGGCUGUAAAAAAUUGAAAUCUUUAUAUAAAAUGACACCAUUCACAAGGAAAGUAAAUGUGAAGCAAGUACUUAACAUUUAUGUUACCUACUCAGGAUUUUCUUGUGUUUAUUUUAAGCCCCAGAACUCAGUUUUCCUAGUGAAAAUUUUGGAAAUGAUGACAAACUUGAAUUUCACAGGAAGUCUUAAUAGAUUUCAGCAUUAAACCCAACUCUGUAUGUCCAGUCAAGUUAAUAAAAACUUUCCAUCUAGGUUUCUAAUCCAUUGCUAUUGAAAUGGGAGCACCAAGAAUUGAGUUUCCUCAGACUUAACAGACAACUUUUGCAGUAUUUCCUCCUUUCUUAUUUUUAGUGAAAAAUAUCUAACGUAAUAUCCAAGCCUCCCCUCAAAUUAAUUCAGUGUUUUGUGAGUCUAGGAUGUUGCUGGUUGUUUCAGCACUGCAGUGGCUUAUCCAGUUGUAAUACAUAUUAUGCUUAAUACAGAACAUAUCCAAUUUACUGGUCAACUGAAGCAUUUUGAAGCUUAUUGGUUUUUUUUUGUUCCAAUUCAGACAAAGAUACAACUUAGAAAAAUGAUGAGAUUAUUUCAUCUGGUUUUAGCUUGCUGUUCAUUUUACUGUUUGUUUUUGACAGAAACAGCAUCAUGCAUAGUAUAUAAUAUGAAAAGUGCUAUAAAUGCUUGUUCAGGCAGCAAUUUAGGCAGUUGGAGAAAGUGCAGAGAGGAAUGUAAAUGAGGCAAACUUCCAUUUUCAAGUUUAUAACACUUUGAUAAAUUUGAAGAGCAUUCAAGUUAUUUGCAGAUUCUGCAUUAAAAUUCAACUAAAGUUAUAU
rnacentral:lncRNA from 1 species